rnacentral:rRNA from 1 species
CCUACGGGUGGCUGCAGUCGAGAAUCAUUCACCAUGGGGGAAACCCUGAUGGUACGACGCCGCGUGGGGGAAUGAAGGCCUUCGGAUUGUAAACCUCUGUCAUGUGGGAGCAAAUUAAAAAGAUAGUACCACAAGAGGACGAGACGGCUAACUCUGUGCCAGCAGCCGCGGUAAUACAGAGGUCUCAAGCGAUGUGCGGAAUCACUGGGCGUAAAGCGUGCGUAGGCGGUUUCGUAAGUCGUGUGUGAAAGGCGCGGGCUCAACCCGCGGACGGCACAUGAUACUGCGAGACUAGAGUAAUGGAGAGGGAACCGGAAUUCUCGGUGUAGCAGUGAAAUGCGUAGAUAUCGGGAGGAACACUAGUGGCGAAGGCGGGUUCCUGGACAUUAACUGACGCUGAGGCGCGAAGGCCAGGGGAGCGAAAGGGAUUAGAUACCCGUGUAGUC